GAAUCCCUGGUUACACAGGGUGACAAAUUCAUUACAGCUUGCUGCGGAUCUCAGCUGCUCUCUGGACCGGGAUCUUGCAUGAAUAAAUUGCCAGCAGCUGUGUAAGUCUCCCUGCCUUGUGGAGACCACGGUUCAGGGUCCUUCUGGAAGCCAGCAGUGAGAAGUCAGCCUCAGCGGAGCAGAGCCGACAGUGACAAAUCACAGAGGAACAUCUUCACAGAACUUUCAGAUCCUGAAGCCAUCUUCCCCCUCUGCCUCCAAGAAGUUCCUGGUGAUGGUAACAAAGGACGGUCCCAGAGCUACUGUCAAUCAGCAGCUAGGCCACCAAGGCUUUGACUUAUGCCCUGGACUGCUCACAAGAAGGUCUACAGGAAGGUCAUGGAAAGGUUGGUAAGUGCAAUGGAAGCUACUCUUCUCCUUUCUUCUCUGCAAGUCCUUCUGUAGGAAGACUUAUGCCACAUUGUAGUAGGACGCUGGUAAGUGCUUCAAAUCAGAAAGAAAGGAACAGCAGGACAGGCAUGUAGUUCUGUUCUUUAAUCUGAUCAAAGUCAGACCAGAAGAAAAGGAGACUAAAAGAUGCUGUAUAUUCCCACAGACUGGUAUAAUGGCUUAAUCCUUGUGCAUAAUUCCCAGCAGAUUCUGCUGGUCCCAACCAGGGCUUCAUUCUGUUAAACACAGUAGAGAAUGGUACAAAGACAUGAUGAAG
rnacentral:lncRNA from 1 species